GUGCUUAACACAUGCAAGUCGCGUGCGCAGUCCGUAGCAAUACGGGUGGGCGCACGGCGCACGGGUGCGUAACACGUGGGCAAUCUGCCCUCCGAUGGGGAAUAACCCCGCGAAAGCGGGGCUAAUUCCGCAUAACAUUCCUUGGACACCGGUCCGAGGAUUCAAAGCAGUGAUGCGUCGGAGGAGGAGCCCGCGCCCGAUUAGCUAGUUGGUGAGGUAACGGCUCACCAAGGCAAUGAUCGGUAGCUGGUCUGAGAGGAUGAUCAGCCACACUGGAACUGAGACACGGUCCAG
rnacentral:rRNA from 1 species